UGUUAGUUGUGCAAUUGUUUAAUUUUAUGUAGCAUCGCUCAAAGUCAAAAGAGAACUGUGGAUCUUUGAGAGAAGUACUCAUUCCACACAAUUCCACUCAGUAGGUAUUCCUAUGAAAAAUCUAUAUAUUAAAGAUUUGUGCAUCUCAGAAGUUGUGAUUCUGCCUUGAAGAGGAAGUGAGCAUCCUCUAUAUAUCUUUAACUACUUUGGAGCAUUGCAAAUAAAGAUACAAGCUCUUGGCGUUUCUUUCAAAGGACAUUCUUCCAAUUUUAGCUCAGUUGACUAGGAGUUUUUGUUAGUUUGUGGACAGCUCUUAAAGAAAGUCAAUCACUACUAGUAGUCUAGGAAAAGAUAAAAGAGAAUUUAAUUAUUGUGGUAUUAUCUUCUUACUAUAUUGUUACCCAACUACUCUCUUAGCCCGUAUUUGGCUGUUCUGUACUUAGGUAUGAUAGCGACUAUUUUAAUCAUAUACUUCUUAGUAUUUUUUUUUUGCAUCACACAGUGAGAUACUGAAUGAACUCCUAUGAAAUAAUGUUUAGUAAGAAACAACAUUUUGGGAAAACAGUUGAUUCUCAUGUUGUGUUGUUUCUCUGUUUACAGUUUCAGGUAUUUUUGUUAAGGUAAAGUUGGAAGUGAGACUGGUGACUAUAGAAAUAUGUUUUUUAUGUCCUGUUUGUCAAUAAAUCUGUAUCUUCUAACCUGCAGAUCUGGCUGGCUUCCAUGCUAAAGGAUAAUGCAUGUUAGAAGAGAAAUGUACUGGAAUCACCUACUGGAAGGAGAAAUAUGUACCAGUCAGUGGUGUAGAACUCGUUUUACCAAUAUCAAAGCAUGAUGCUACAUAUAUAAAAACUGGUAACUGUCCACUUCUUUUUUAUUUUUAUUAAGGUUUUUUUAAAUUGAUAAGGUAAUAUGCCACACUCUGCGUGGGCAAAAGGAACGAGGAGGAAGGAAAGUAGGGGAGUGGGAGUAGGGGAUAUCCAUUUCUGAUGGUACUGUUUUGUAAAAUGAUUAUAACAUAGAGUAACAAAAACACAUACAGUAGAGUCUCAAUUAUCCAACACUCGCUUAUCCAACGUUCUGGAUUAUCCAACGCAUUUUUGUAGUCAAUGUUUUCAACAUAUCGUGAUAUUUUGGUGCUAAAUUCGUAAAUACAGUAAUUACUACAUAGCAUUAAUGCGUAUUGAACUACUUUUUUGGGUCAAAUUUGUUGUAUAACAUGAUGUUUUGGUGCUUAAUGUGUAAAAUCAUAACCUAAUUUGAUGUUUAAUAGGCUUCUCCUUAAUCUCUCCUUAUUAUCCAACAUAUUCGCUUAUCCAACAUUCUGCCGGCCCGUUUAUGUUGGAUAAGUGAGACUCUACUGUACUUAGAAAGUUAUGGAUCCUUGUUACUUGUCAUUAAUUUAGUGAUCAUGUUUUGUUAGUGUGGCCUGUGUGAUUCAGACUUCAUUUCUGCUGCCAUGACACUCAUCCAAAAUUCCCAAGAAAGGGGAUAUUAGUGAAAGGGUAGUAAUUUUUGAAUAGUUCUGGAUUCAGGGAGGUGCUCUUUAUCUCCUUAAUGAAGGACCCACUAAUGUCAAAACAGACUUCACAAGGAAGUAAUCUGAUCGCAACUGUCAUGCCACCUGUGACUGUUGUUGCUUUUGUCAUCCUCUUCACUUAUGCCUGACCCUUCUUGUUGAACAGAAGGAGGAAACUAUCAUGACUUUUUUUUUGGAAGAAUUGGUUCAGAGUGAAUUUACUCUUUGCUUUCUUUUGAUAUGGGGAUGUCCUGCUGCUGGAAGAGGGUGACUUGUUGAAGAUCACCCAAAAGGUUGCUGUGGCCAAGCAGGUAUUCAAUCCCUGGCAGAAGCAACACUGUGACCUACCUCCCCCUUUGCUCCUCCCAUCCUUUUUAGUAAGUUACAGUGUCACUGUAUUGCUACUGCAACACAAGGGGGAGGGGGCAUGAGGGAACAGCCAUCCUGUGUCUCCAAGCCGCCUGAACCCAGGGGGCAUAGGGUGGCUGUCAGGACAGCUACAGCCAGUUCUGCACGAAAACUGGCUGCUACUGUCUGAGCUGCCAUAACUCAAGCAAGGACCCAAAUCC
rnacentral:lncRNA from 1 species